CUAGAUUUUGCAGUCUGGGUCAUGGGGGUUAAACAUGUCAGGAAUCAAAGGAUUAAAAAUGGGGGGUGGGGAUGGGAAGUUGCUGACACGAUCAGAUCUGGCUGCACAGUGGGGAAAAGGUCAGAGAGAGUGAAGACAGAAGGCCGUGUACUACUGCAGAAAGUGAAAGAUAAUAGCAAUGAGAAUGGAGAGAGCCAACUUCAGCGCUUCCAGGGCAGAAUCUGCAAGCUUCCUCAGCACAGGUGUGGCACACAGCUGACAGUCUUCUAAUGAGUGAUCUGGAUCUGUACAUGGAAUAUUUAUGAGAAAUAAUGAGGCAAAGGAGCAGCUUAAGAAAAAAAGGGAG